rnacentral:lncRNA from 1 species
AAGUACUGUGCACUGUCCUCAUCUCCAGGAGAUUCUGAUGGGCAGCUAUUGUAGGAAAACACUGCCUAAAAUCAGAUUUUUCUAACAGAUGGAACAUCUUAUACCUAUAAUAGAAGCGGUAGUAAACCUAAAUUUAGUGUGUUUAAUAAAAUGGUACUGACGUGUCUCUAGUUGUAACUAUAUUAAAAAGCUUGGCUGGGC